GGGUUAUAUAUCUGAGCUGUUUGCUCUGUGGUGGAGGCAAAACACAGUGUAGGUAAAAAAAGAGGUUUCUGAAAUGUUUGAGUUGCUAUUCUGAAACUUCCAAUACAAAAUACGUUUCUAAUGAAUUAUCUUAAAUUAAAGUUUAAUGGCCCCUAAAUUGUAUAUAAAGUACUAGCACAAAAGCAGGCUGUGUGCAGAUAAACAUCAUUAGUGUGUGAGUAGGAAAAGUUCUUUAGCUUCUAUUUCCCUCUGGGUUUUCUAACAGCUCCGUGGGUCCUUUUCUGCCUAAUGUGAAUGCCAAUGUACUUUUCUUUCCAACUUCCCCAGUGAACCUCCUGUGUUAAUAGCUGGAUUUUGACUUGCCACUCCUGAAAAAAACAAAAGGGAUCGUUCUUUGCUGACGCACAACUUCACCUGCCAUCUGCACAUGCUCACUCUGGCAGCUCCUCGUGAUCCUUCAACUCGCAGGAAAUCCUUAGAGGAAUAAAAAGGACAGGCCCACCCCCACAGCAGAGUGAGCUCCCAGCUGAGUCACAUCAGUGGGACGAACGCUGACACGUGUAUUGACAAGCCUGUUUCAUACUCAAGUGCCCCUGCAAAUCAGCACAUGGCUGCUUGGAAGCCGGGCAGUCCCCCACGCUGGGUGGGAUUCUGCCUUCUCAACCGUUCUUCUAGUUGGGGUGGAAGCCUCCCUUUAUCCAGCCAACCUUUCUGGAGAAAGUGGGGUGGACGAGAGGGGUAAAAGGGAGUACUGAGGCCUGGAUGCCGAGAAGGCUACUGUAGGAACGUAGCCUUCUGGUCUGCUCACUGCUACCAUCCACACCAGUCCACAUGGCCACACCCUGAGUGGCCUGGUCCCAGAGCAGCUGUUUGGACGGCUUGUGUGGUCAUACCACGCCUCGCUGAUUUGGACUAAUGACUUAAAGGAGAGACAAGCUUCAUGGACCUGGGGAUCUGUUCGUAAAGAUUCUUCAAAUCUUCAUCUGGGAGCCUUUUAUGGAGCAGGUGGGUAGCUUUCUGGAGCCACGAGCUUAUAUCAGAGACCAUCUUCCCCUUGGAAUAUAGCAGCUGACUGAAAACGAAGUUAACCCUAAUACCAUGUACCA